CCUACGGGUGGCAGCAGUGAGGAAUAUUGGUCAAUGGACGAGAGUCUGAACCAGCCAUGUCGCGUGAAGGAUGACUGCCCUAUGGGUUGUAAACUUCUUUUAUAUGGGAAUAAAAUGUUCCACGUGUGGGAUUUUGUAUGUACCAUAUGAAUAAGGAUCGGCUAACUCCGUGCCAGCAGCCGCGGUAAUACGGAGGAUCCGAGCGUUAUCCGGAUUUAUUGGGUUUAAAGGGAGCGUAGGUGGUUGGUUAAGUCAGUUGUGAAAGUUUGCGGCUCAACCGUAAAAUUGCCGUCGAUACUGGCAGGCUUGAGUACAGUAGAGGUAGGCGGAAUGCGUGGUGUAGCGGUGAAAUGCUUAGAGAUCACGAAGAACUCCGAUUGCGAAGGCAGUUCACUGGACUGCAACUGACACUGAGGCUCGAAAGUGUGGGUAUCAAACAGGAUUAGAUACCCUAGUAGUC
rnacentral:rRNA from 1 species